CAACUGUCAGACAUGCUGUUUUUCAUAUUUUAAUUGUGUGUUUUUUAAUAUGUGAUGAUAAUUUCUGUUGUUCAUGGGUCCUCUAAGAUCAAUGAUCUGUUUGAAUACCUUGCUCUUGCAGAUUUUUUUGAAUGUCAACUGAGUUGCUCGUGUCCUGAUGAAGAGCCCAACAAUAGGCUCGAAAUAUAGACAAUCGAACGACAAA